GGAUAAGUCUUUUAUUGGCUGGUUGAUGUACAGUUGGUUCACCAAUCAAAUGAUAGCGACAGCACUAGCAUCUCAUUGGUUGGUGGGGUUAAAGUUCAUAUACCAAUGAAACGAUAGUAUCUAUACUAUUUAAGGACCUUUAUUAUGGCAGGUGGGUAUGUUUGUGACCUGGGGUGCUUCUCUCUCUCCCUGGCAUUUCCGUUUCCGUUUUGAUUCCUUCCUCAGUUUCAUUUAGAGCGCGUCUGGUGGCGUUGGCAGUGCGGCAACUCGCGGCGUAUUUCGGCUGCAGUAAUUGCAGCGAGAGCAGUGAAUGCUGGCUGGUAGACUGAGCUAUGACACCGGUUGUGAGUAACCAUAUAGCGUUGCAUCUAAUGUUUAUUCAAUAACAAUCUUAAGGGGAAAUUAAAACAUCUUAGUCCUCAUCUUGGCCAAUGAUUUCAGGCAGCUGCUGUUUUGCUUAGGGACGCAUUUUGGAGUCCGAUCUGCACUUUACGGUCUUUUGUGCUUUAAUACUUUGAGAGUUUACGAAACUGUAAAGACUGAGUAUUUUCUCCGCAUGGACUAUCUACCAGUUGAGGUUCUGGAUUGUUUUUUUCUUCUAACCGUAAUUGUUUGUUUUGUUUGUUUGGUUAUAUUGGACUUUUUUGGUAUUGAUUUGUUUACCCUGCAUUUUCUUCUGUAAGCAUAUUGUAUGCUGCAAGGGUUAUUUCUUUUUGAGUAUUUAUUGAUUUUGAUUUACGUUUUGGGUGUGGUGUUCUCUGGAUGCUCGAGUGCCAGAGUCGCGACAAAGUGUUUAUAAGUUUCUUUUUUUUUGCAUGUUUUCAUUUCUAUAAUUUUGUUGAAUUUCUUCUUUAAUGUUAUUUUCUGUUUCUCCAGGGCCAGUGAGGAUCGGGUGGAACUGGGGAGGCUAGCUGCUGUCAUUUUGCAGUGUGCGGUGUGUGUGGAUACAACUUCCCAUUGGUGUGUGUGAUGGUUGCUUUGGUGUGAAUUUAGGUGGGUUUUUGGAUAACCAUUCUGAGUUGCAGCCGGCCUGCCUGGUUCCCACUAAUCCUGGCCCUGGGAAUUACCUCCCUUAUUGUGGAAAUGGUUUGUGUGAGAGCGUUUUAAAUCUAUGCGUGUGUUUUAAAAUAAAAUCCAAUCUUUUGUAUUCUCGCCCCCGUCUCCCCUACUUUGCCUUCAUUUGGUGAAACUUACCUGUGUCCUUUAAUGGGAAUAAAUUCUCUGGUUUCCCACCAGGGUGGCGUAGUCGGAUAAAUUCACUGAUUAACCUUUCCUUUCAUGUGAUACCGCCACAUUAAGUUUUAAGUAAAAAUAGGUGGAGGGGUUUAUACAGUGAACAAGUCGUAGAAGCUACUUUUUAAUAUGUUUUUGUAAAUAAUUGCGAUUUCGAACAUUUUUCAUAGUUAUUUUAACAAGUGCAUACUAAUCAGUGAAUACCUAUCAUAAGUGAAUACAGAUGGUACUUUACAAUGGCAUAUGGAUUAGUCCUUUAAGGUUUACUUCCAUCAUAUAAAAAAAAUGCUUAUGUUGCUUUAGUUGACCUCAGGAAAAAAUCUAUCAAUCAAAAUCUAUCGAACAAUCACACCAUUAGAAAUACCCCAUAUAGAAACUAAACACACUGUAAACAUACAAAACCCCUUAGUUAGAGUAUUAUGAUAUAGCUUGUGUUUAGUGUGAAACCUUUGAUGCUCUGAUUUAAAGAGACAGGAAUGGAUGCAUUAAAUUGCCUUUAUGGAUCUUGUCAAGAUUGCUUUCCACAGGUUAAUCAUUUUUAAUGCAUGGCACAUGUGUGUAAUUAAAUCCUCCACUCCUAUGCUUCCUUUGAUUUAUAAGUUGCUUUAGCCCGGUGGGUCAUUAAUGCCCUCUUCAUUAGAGCUUGUUUACUGGAUUAAACACCUUUGGAGAGCCAAGCUUAGCAAAACUUUUGCAUCAUGGAACAAGAAAUAAUCAGAUCUCAUUGGCAAGGUCGCCCCAUGGGUUUGUCGAGCUUUAUUUAAAUAGGCCCAACUGGAGUGAAAAUUGUUGUAACAUUAAAAAGUGCAUAGAAUGCACAUCAAACAUGAAGAGUGGAUCAUUUUUAAAAGAAUCCACUAAAAUGUCCAUGCACUUUUUUUCAACAUUACAAAAUUACGUUGU
ensembl:lncRNA